AGCAAACAGUGAAAGAUAAGAGUCAAAUUGUAUUUUACCUUUUCUCGUUAAUUGUAAUUUAUUAUAAAUGAAUGAAAAGGCUAACACAUACAAUAAGAAUUACGAUUUGCUAGUCGACGUGGUCCACUUUCAAUCUCAUGCGUUUAAGGAUAAUUUGUUGCAUUUACUUGUACGUAUACAACUACUGAAUUUUCUGAUCAUUGUGAGGAAAUGUUUUCAACAUCGAGCAGCUUGGUCUUGGCAAAAGACGAAAGUAUACACAAACCGUAUGAAUGUCAUCUCUGCAAGAGAAGGUUCUCCCAAAAAGGUAACUUAGCAACGCAUAAAAUAACGCAUACUGCAGAUAAACCUUUUGAAUGUGAUGUUUGCAACAAGAGAUUUUCUCAGUCAAGUGAUUUGAAAAGACAUAACAGAACCCACACUGGGAGCAAACCUUAUAAAUGUGAUGUUUGUUACAAGACAUUUUCCGUAUUAGUCACCUUAAAAACACAUAAAAGAGUACACACUGGAGACAAACCUUAUGAAUGUGAUGUUUGCAAGAAGAAAUUUUCCCUAUUAGGAAACUUAAAAAGACAUAAAAGAAAUAUUCACACUGGAGACAAGUCUUUUGAAUGCGAUGUUUGCAAGAAGAAAUUUUCACAGUCAAGUGAUUUGGGAAGGCAUCAAAGAACCCACACUGGGAGCCAACCUUAUGAAUGUGAUGUUUGCAACAAGAGAUUUUCCCAUUUAAGCAACUUAAAAACUCAUAUAAGAAUACACACUGGAAACAAACCUUUUGAAUGUGAUAUUUGCAACAAGAGAUUUUCCCUUUUAAGUUACUUAAAAACACAUAAAAUAACACACACUCUAGACAAACCGUAUGUAUGUGAUAUUUGCGGUAGGACAUUUCCCCAAAUAACCAACCUAAAAAGACAUAAAAGGCUACACACUGGAGACAGACCUCAUGAAUGUAAUAUUUGCAAAAAGACUUUUAUACAACGAACUCAUCUUGAACGCCACAAGAAGGCACACUUACUGUGCAAAUCUUGUCAUAGAGAAAUUAAUCAAUCUCAAGACUUACAGGAACAUUUCUUCAAGGACGACGUCACCGGAAAACAUAAUUGUCGAAGAUGCAAGAAACAAUUCAUUAACUUUGCCAAAUUAGUACAACAUAUUGCAAGGCAACAUGGAAAUGAUACAAAACAUCAAUGUGUUUUAUGCCGAGAAUUAGAAUCUAUAAAACCAACUGGUAUUGGGUAUAUUUGUUUCAUGUGUGACACUGAGUUUGAUUUUCUAAACAAACUUGAGUGUCAUAUGGUUACUCAUCAUAUGUCAAAAUGUGACUAGAUGGCACUGCCCAAUUGUUUAUUUGAUGUUAUUAAAGUCCAUAUUAAUGACAUUAUUUUGGGAAUCUAUGCCUGUUUAUUAGUACAAAAGUGGGAAGCAUAAAAUCAUAUACAGCUGCAAGAAAGAUAUUUAAGAAACAGCAAUUUAUAGCAGGUAAGAAGGCUGCAUUGUAUUGAAACUACUUAUCAGGUUACUACCUUAAUACCCACUUAUGCUCAAGAGCACCAACUACGAGAACAGCAACAGUAGCUUUUAUUUAUACCCAGGGGUGGAAAAAUUUUUUUUCUUUCUGGGAACCUGGGUCGAAGGCUAG
rnacentral:lncRNA from 1 species